UGAGGAAUAUUGGUCAAUGGGCGCAGGCCUGAACCAGCCAAGUAGCGUGAAGGAUGAAGGCUCUAUGGGUCGUAAACUUCUUUUAUAUGGGAAUAAAGUUGAGUAUGUAUACUUUUUUGUAUGUACCAUAUGAAUAAGGAUCGGCUAACUCCGUGCCAGCAGCCGCGGUAAUACGGAGGAUCCGAGCGUUAUCCGGAUUUAUUGGGUUUAAAGGGAGCGUAGGUGGAUUGUUAAGUCAGUUGUGAAAGUUUGCGGCUCAACCGUAAAAUUGCAGUUGAAACUGGCAGUCUUGAGUACAGUAGAGGUGGGCGGAAUUCGUGGUGUAGCGGUGAAAUGCUUAGAUAUCACGAAGAACUCCGAUUGCGAAGGCAGCUCACUAGACUGGUGACUGACACUGAGGCUCGAAAGUGUGGGUAUCAAACAGG
rnacentral:rRNA from 1 species